rnacentral:rRNA from 1 species
GAUGAACGCUGGCGGCGUGCCUAAUACAUGCAAGUCGAGCGAACAGACGAGGAGCUUGCUCCUCUGACGUUAGCGGCGGACGGGUGAGUAACACGUGGAUAACCUACCUAUAAGACUGGGAUAACUUCGGGAAACCGGAGCUAAUACCGGAUAAUAUAUUGAACCGCGUGGUUCAAUAGUGAAAGACGGUUUUGCUGUCACUUAUAGAUGGAUCCGCGCCGCAUUAGCUAGUUGGUAAGGUAACGGCUUACCAAGGCAACGAUGCGUAGCCGACCUGAGAGGGUGAUCGGCCACACUGGAACUGAGACACGGUCCAGACUCCUACGGGAGGCAGCAGUAGGGAAUCUUCCGCAAUGGGCGAAAGCCUGACGGGGCAACGCCGCGUGAGUGAUGAAGGUCUUCGGAUCGUAAAACUCUGUUAUUAGGGAAGAACAAAUGUGUAAGUAACUAUGCACGUCUUGACGGUACCUAAUCAGAAAGCCACGGCUAACUACGUG